GCGCAAUGGGCGAAAGCCUGACGCAGCGACGCCGGCGUGGGGGAUGAAGGUCUUCGGAUUGUAAACCCCUUUCGGGAGGGAAGAUAGAGCGAGCAAUCGUUCGGACGGUACCUCCAGAAGCAGCCACGGCUAACUUCGUGCCAGCAGCCGCGGUAAUACGAAGGUGGCAAGCGUUGUUCGGAUUUACUGGGCGUACAGGGAGCGUAGGCGGUUCGGUAAGCCCUCUGUGAAAUCUCCAGGCUUAACCUGGAACAGUCGGAGGGGGACUGCCGGGCUAGAGGACGGGAGAGGAGCGCGGAAUUCCCGGUGUAGCGGUGAAAUGCGUAGAGAUCGGGAGGAAGGCCGGUGGCGAAGGCGGCGCUCUGGAACGUUUCUGACGCUGAGGCUCGAAAGCGUGGGGAGCAAACAGGAUUAGAUACCCUGGUAGUCCACGCCUUAAACUAUGAAUACUAAGUGUCGGCGGGUUACCGCCGGUGCCGCAGCUAACGCAUUAAGUAUUCCGCCUGGGAAGUACGGCCGCAAGGUUG
rnacentral:rRNA from 1 species